CCUACGGGAGGCAGCAGUGGGGGAUAUUGCACAAUGGGGGAAACCCUGAUGCAGCGACUCCGCGUGUGGGAAGACGGUCCUCUGGAUUGUCAACCACUGUCCCCAGGGACGAAGAUGACUGUACCUGGGGAGGAAGCUCCGGCAAACUACGUUCCAGCAGCCGCGGUAAUCCGUAGGGAGCGAGCGGUGUCCGGAAUUACUGUGUGUAAAGGGAGCGUAGGCGGGGAUGCAAGUUGGGUGGCAAAACUACCGGCUCAACUGGGAGUCGCACUCAAACCUGCAGCUCUUGAGUGAAGUAGAGGCAGGCGGAAUUCCUAGUGUAGCGGUGAAAUGCGUAGAUAUUAGGAGGAACACCAGUGGCGAAGGCGGCCUGCUGGGCUUUUACUGACGCUGAGGCUCGAAAGUGUGGGGAGCAAACAGGAGUAGAUACCCGUGUAGUC
rnacentral:rRNA from 1 species